rnacentral:rRNA from 1 species
AGUGAACGCUGGCGGUAGGCCUAACACAUGCAAGUCGAACGGCAGCACAGUAAGAGCUUGCUCUUACGGGUGGCGAGUGGCGGACGGGUGAGGAAUACAUCGGAAUCUACCUUUUCGUGGGGGAUAACGUAGGGAAACUUACGCUAAUACCGCAUACGACCUACGGGUGAAAGCAGGGGAUCUUCGGACCUUGCGCGAUUGAAUGAGCCGAUGUCGGAUUAGCUAGUUGGCGGGGUAAAGGCCCACCAAGGCGACGAUCCGUAGCUGGUCUGAGAGGAUGAUCAGCCACACUGGAACUGAGACACGGUCCAGACUCCUACGGGAGGCAGCAGUGGGGAAUAUUGGACAAUGGGCGCAAGCCUGAUCCAGCCAUACCGCGUGAGUGAAGAAGGCCUUCGGGUUGUAAAGCCCUUUUGUUGGGAAAGAAAAGCAGCAGGUUAAUACCCCGCUGUUCUGACGGUACCCAAAGAAUAAGCACCGGCUAACUUCGUG